UUUUCAUUCAUUCACAAAUCAUCUUUCUUACCUCUUCAUUUCCUUCUUUCUCUAGUUUCUUCAUAUAGAAAUAUUAGUUUUAGUUGUCGAAGUUUUCACGGUGUCGGUUUGUAGUUUUUAGAGUUAUUUUGGGGUCAAAGUUCUUCUAAAGUUUUAAAGGAGUUUGAUACGUCAAAGUUCUGCUCAAAUCAUUUUCAUAAGUAACCGGUUCUGGGCAAACAUCAGAGAAAACGCUCGUGGACUUUCAACAACGAUCAACAACAAAAGGCGACGAGCUAGACCCUUUAGGAGGGAAGGCUAUGGAGUGACAGAUUACGAUAAUGUCAAGGCUGAAGGUUGCUAGCGUUUUGUCAAACGCUUAUCACAUCGUUACUAGUACGUAAUAUUAUAUACAGUCAGUAUAAGUGUCAGUCAUGUUGGACUUAGGGGGUCCUUCUGUUAAGCUUUCUUUUGAUUUUCUUCAUGUACUUUUAUUUUAAGUUUUAUCUACGUGGCAAGGCCACUAGUCUUAACGGUAUCAAACUUUAUGUAAAACAUAUUUGAAGCAUAUAUAUGUGAAGUAGUAUAUUUUAAUUAAUUCAGUCUUGUUAUUUAAAAAUUUUAAAUUUUCUGUAUUUUAUUUUAGAAUUUCACUAAUGGGACAUAGGCUGUCUCAUUUAAUGGUAUCAGAGCUGGUCGAUUCAGCUCGGACCGUAAGUGUCUAGAGUUAUACUGACUGUAUCAAGUUGGAUUCCAAACAGGAUGAUAACUUUUCUUUUGUGCGUUGAGUCUUCCUUUUGAUAGUCUUCUAAUAUAUUGAUCUA